rnacentral:lncRNA from 10 species
UUUGCAGGAAAGAGAAGCCAGCUCUAUAAUUUCACAAAGUCUCCCCACCUUACUCAUCUCGAGUAGUGACCACCGUGAAUGGUCCCACCGCCAGCCUCUUGGGAGGCAGCCGGGGAAAGCACUCCAUCCUGGGACUUAGGAGCAUGAACUCUGGAGAAACACAGACCUGUGUUCAAAUCCGAGUCCACUGCGUCCUCACAAUGUGAUCUUGGGCCACAUGAGUUUUGCAGAGCAGACGUAGAAAGCAGAGAAUGAAAAAAAGAAAAAGAGGAGAGAUCUGAAGCCAGAAUGGGCGUCAUGCAAGAGGCUCUAGAGUUGCAGACAGUUGCAGCCCAGAUACGACGUGCAAAGAGAGACAUCCCAGAUCUCCCACACAGAACUCCGGCGCGCUUUGAAGUGUUGACAACACAUAAAAUUAAAAGCAUCACAAUGCGAAUUAUCACGUUGUUUUUUCCACUUUGAUAGCCUCUACAAAGCAUUUUAUACCGAUGAAUCAAUACAAAUGUCUCUUUAUAAAGACAUUGGAAACAAAAAGAUACAUUUUUUUUUUUCCUUAAGAGAAACCGACACAACUAACAAAAAGAUUUCAGCCCUGGCUUGCAGGAUAGCUCUAGUUUGAAUCCACCUUCAGGCAGGCUCUGCCCUUGUGAUGGUAGGAUGGCGGCCCAGCUUCAGGACUACCUCUCACCAGCUCAGCACCUUAACAAAAAGAGAACUCCUGCCCAACAGCUUAAAUACAAGCCCUAGGACUGCAUUUUAUUGAAUGUAUUAUAUAACGUAUUAUAUAAUACUUGGGUCACAUGCCAAGCCAUAUCAUGUAUCCAUCCUGGAAACCUGGAGGUGGAGUCAACCCCACCUAAAUCAACAUGGUCUGAGAACGGGGAAGGAGCAGUUCUCCAAGGGCAAGGCGGAGGUUCUUGACAGAAGAGGAGAGAGACGCUGAGUAGAUGAGAACAGCCAACAUCUACCACAGAGCGGAAAACAACAAACUUGGUUCUCAUGACAAGCCCAAAAGACUCCUUGGUGGUUCUAUCUAUUUGGAGAAGCCUUUAUAUCUUCACACACCUGGGAUCUUCCAAGAAGGUUUUGGAUGAGCACGCCUCAAUUCAGUCCUAGAGACCUAUGCUGCAUUUGUUUCCUUCCCUCUUGGUCCACCUCCAGCCCUCAUUCAAUUCUAAGUCUCAUCAUGCCUUUGAAGACUGCCCUGCUAGUCUCAAACCUGUGCUUUUUCCUUUGUUCAAUUGUGACCCUGUUUAUGAUGCUACAGAAAGAACAGCUUUGCAUACUCCAGACUUGGUUCCAGGUGUCUGCACUCAUAAUUUAUGUUGCCCUUCAAUUUACCUAUAGAAUCUUGCCUUUUAAGAACUGGUUCCACAUAAAGUUUCUAAGGGGCUUUUAAAACUGUAAAGCAAUAUAAAUGAUAGAUGUUAUAAAAUCUAAGAUCAUUUGUCCAUGUUAUUCUCUACCUGUUGGUUCCUUCCUCAUUGAAAAUUGGUGUAUAGAUGGUAGAUAGAUAGAUGAUAGAUAGAUAGGUAGAUAGAUAGAUAGAUAGAUAGAUAGAUAGAUAGAUAGAUAGAUAGAUAGAUUUUUAUUUUUGGUCUAUCUCCUUUACUAAACAGUAAGCUCCAUGAAAAUAUGGAUCAUCACUGUCUUAUUCACCAUUAUAUUCUCAGCAUAUGGUAUUGUCCUGGUAUAGAAUAGAUUCUCAAUAAAUGCUUGCUAAAUGAAUGCAUUCAUGAGUGAGUGAAUGAAUGAAUAUGCGAGUGGAUGAGUGUGUGGAAAACAUGGUCUGGCUUUCCCAACCAGAUGAGAAAGCAAAGGCACCGGAGUUAGCUUCAGCUGUUGCUUCCUAGCGAUGUGACCUUAGUUUGACCUUUCUGUGUUUCAGUUUUCUCAUCCUUGAAAUGGGGAAAAUACUUUACUGAGGACACCAAAAGAUCACCUAUGUGAAUUCAAUGUUUGAUAUACUAAGCACUCAAUAAAU